AUUAAUCCAGUGUGUUGAGAGCUACAUUCUUCUGAGAGACUCCUCCCAUGUUUCCAACCUGGGCAACUUGUCUUGUAUUAUUAGUCUGUGGAUUAAAAUUGCUCCUUCAUAAAAUAUCAUACUCUGGAAAGAAACUCAGGCAACAGGCUGUACAGAAGGUCUGCCCAGAUGGGGCUCUGAGAGAAAAAAAGGACACCUCAGAGAAAAACUAGGUCUGUGGUAGCRCUCUUCA
rnacentral:lncRNA from 1 species